rnacentral:rRNA from 1 species
GGAGGGUGCAAGCGUUAAUCGGAAUUACUGGGCGUAAAGCGCACGCAGGCGGUUGGAUAAGUUAGAUGUGAAAGCCCCGGGCUCAACCUGGGAAUUGCAUUUAAAACUGUCCAGCUAGAGUCUUGUAGAGGGGGGUAGAAUUCCAGGUGUAGCGGUGAAAUGCGUAGAGAUCUGGAGGAAUACCGGUGGCGAAGGCGGCCCCCUGGACAAAGACUGACGCUCAGGUGCGAAAGCGUGGGGAGCAAACAGGAUUAGAUACCCUGGUAGUCCACGCUGUAAACGAUGGGUACUAGGUUUAGUGGGUCUUGACCCCCGCUGAACCGGAGCUAACGCGAUAAGUACCCCGCCUGGGAAGUACGGUCGCAAGACUA